rnacentral:lncRNA from 1 species
CUCUCUUUUGAUCCUUAGUAGCUCAAGUCCACCUCUUUUCAUCUCAUAGCCUGUAUGCCUGCAAAAUAUAGAAAAUAAUGUAUUUAAUCAUAUAUAUGUCUCAUUUAUUCAUUUAAAUCAUGGUAAUAUGCACGAAUAUUGAGUAAAAAUAUGUGGUAAAUUUACCAUUCAUCAUGCGGGAACUUAUGGGUAUCGAUGAGAUGAUAGAGGCCACAAACACCACGGACUAGGGUCUGAUCAGAGCCGCCGCCAACCCAUUGGCCUGACAGUCGAGGCAUGGAGCCAAUAUGCUUGCUGAGAUAUACAUGAGCCAAACUGAGGUUGCCUGGACUACUGAGGCUACGGAGACAGUAGAUAGACUGAGACAACACAGACUUUAGCUAUAUAGGGUACAUCUAGUGCCCCACCUCUGGUUUAUUCUGUACCACCUCGCAUAAGAGGUAAGCCUUCUAGGUUUAUGCUAAUUUCACUAUCUAUAUAGAUCAAGGCAAUAACAAGAUUAGGCACAUUGGAGGCUAAUGUUCAGAUCAUAGAAGGGGGCACAAAGCCUUGGGUUGAUACUCAGUUGGCACACUAAGAAGGGUGGGUGCAACGGUAAUUAGAUGUAUUUGAGUUGAGCAUGACCCUGUAAUUAAAUAGUGACCAAACCCCAGACUUUUUGGAAAUAAAGGCCAAGGUGGCUGAUAUUAAGAGAAUGGUCACAGAGUUGUACGACAGACCAGUUAUCCCGGAGCCCAAGGUCAUGACUGUCAUACCCAAUGUUUAUGUUGAUAAUAUUUGUGUUAUUUUGAAAUCUAUAGUUGAGGAGACCCAAUAAGAAAAAAGAGAAAAAAUAAGGAUAAAGAUGCUAUGAAGAAGGCUAAGUCAGAUAGCCUACAGAAUAAGCAGUAUCGGUAGGUGAGGGUCCAGGAGAUGGCUGCUGGAGUCGGUGGUUCGAGACCACCAGUUAUUGACAUUUAAAAAGGUGGUGAUAUAGAUCCACCAAGUGAUAUUCCAUUGAGUUCACCAGUCAUCAGUGGUGUCACGAUUGCUGACUUAGUCCCGGCAGUUGAUAGGACUUGCGAUGAUGAUGGUAGGACCCGACUUGAGGGCCCACAUGCUGAUAUUGUAUGAUUUUGCACCUUGAGUGCUCAGGUAUGUUCCCAGUCCUUUGCAUUUAACUUUUACAUGCACUGGGGAUAGUGCAUAAGCUUUAAGUUGGGGUAGGGCUAUACCAAGUCGCCAUGGUUUAUAUUUUCCAUUUUUUGAAGCCCGUGGCCACAUUCUAAAAAUUUGAACAACUGGUAUGCCUUGUUUAUGUUUUGUGUUAUUAAUUGUUGUUUUGAUUUAUUUGCUGGAAAUAGCUAAAAUAGGAGGAGAAUUAGUACUUCUGGCAGUUGAGUGUUUUGAAUAAUUAUGCUUGAAAUGGCUUGUGUUUACAUUGAUUUCACCUGCCUGUUUCUACAAUGAACCUGUCUUGGCCCUGAUCCUCCUUGGACAUUGUGCACCUCAGCUCAAGUAAAUCACCUAAGUUCAGGUUGGCUAUUAUAGGGGUGCGUAGAAAAAAUAAGUGUGAAGAAAGACAUGUGAAAGAAAAAAUGAAUAAAAAAGACAGGUAUAGUAAAAAUAAAAGAAAAUAUAAAAGAAAGUGAGAAAAAGAAAACCGCACCUGGUCCAAGAUGUAUGUGCUUUAAAAUUAAAAGGGAGAUAUAAGGGUGGAAAUAAAAUAAAAAGAUAGAGUGGAAGAUAAGUGGACCCCAAAAAAUGUGUAGUGUCGAGGAGGGUUAGUCACUAAAUAAAUCCCAAAAAGAUACCUUACCAGCCCUUAACCUACGUUACUAGCCAAAUAAAUUCCUUUAGUGAUCCUAUCUUGACUGUUCAAAAACUUAGGAAGAGAGCAUAUGGGCAAGCCUAUUGUAUUUUGUAUACACCGGUGAAACUUUUUUGUGAACGGGAGCAUUGUUUGAUAUAUUUCGGAAUGAAUUGUCAAUCUUAGAUGAGAGUGAAAAAGGGAUUUCUUUGAUUGUGAGCGCACAUAAGGUAUGUUGUUAGGUUGCUAGAUUGAUUAACGAAUGUGAUUUGUAUAUGCCUAAUUGUCUGUUACUAAUGUAAUGCCAUCAUCAGAUUUCUUUUUGUCAUUCCAUGUACCGAGUCGUAUACAAAGUUGUUUCUUCAAAAGUUGAAACUAGGAGGGGGAAUAAAAGUAUUGAAAAAUUUAAAUUGAAAGUUCACUGCCAUAGGUAUCUUAGGAUCUUCCUAUUUGUGCAUCGUUGUUUUGUGAUUUUUUUUAGCUUUUAUUUAGCCUGAAAACACACAAACUUCUAUGUUGAGGGCAUUGAUGUGUCGUGGAAAAACAACUCUUUCGAUGCUUAAAACCAUGAAAUUAAGUUUGAAUUUAGGUAAUUUUAGUAGAUAUUAUGUGCUUUUGUGGUUAUUACAGGUAAAUAUAAGUGUUGGACUAAAAUUGGAAGAAAAAGACCUAAAAAUACCAAAGUCAUAGAAGGUACGUGUCUCUUCAUGAGUCGUCAACACCUCAUACGACUCAUAGGCUAAUUCCUAAGCACAACAGAAAUCAAGGCCAGUAAGAAAAGCUAAGUAUUGAGAAAAUAUGACUGAGCAUUCGAGUAGUAAGCUAAGGAUAUGGGUCAUAUCAUGAAAGCAUACGCAGAGCAGAACCCAAGGAAGAAAAUCAGAGUUGAAGUGUUAGAAGACUAUGAGCCGGAAGUCUAAGUACAAUAAGUAGAUAGAAUGAUGUGGAUUUAAGCAAAAAAAAAGAAUCAAAAGAAGGAUAAAAGUGCAUAGCUGAAGACCCAGCACAAAGUCAGGCUCAGUUAUUGUGAUCGUGGUCAAUCAAGUUGGGUCAUCUUUCGUGACUGCGUGAAUCUUACCACAGUCAUGGUAGCCGCGAUCAUAGACAAGCUAGUGCGAUUGCGUCAAUACAGGAAUAUGCCCAAGGGAAAUUUUAUAAAUUUAGAUAGCUGACCCCAAAUCCCUUAAAAGGCUCAAAUCCUUUCUCAUUUUGGUAUUCUAGACUUUUGGGGAAGAUUUGAAUUUGAAGUUUACAAACCCAAAAUCGAGCAACAAUUGUAUUUGAAUUUAGUAAAAUUAAAGGAUGGAUGACUUGAAUAAAGCAUAUGGUAUAUUUCUUUCUCUUUGCUUCAUGAGUAGCAAAACUUUCCUAAUCUUGUGAUUAUGUUGAACUAAGGUGCAAUUAUGUAGGGUUGUGAUGUAUUUGUGUAGAUUCUAGUUGGUUGAUGAUGGGUUUCACUAUUUCUUAAUGGAAUUGGUUGGGGUUUUAGGGUGAAAACCCCAAAUACUCAAGAUGGAUUUGUGAGUGAAAACCCCAAAUUCUUAAAAGCUCACAUCAUCCUUGAAAGAGGGGUAUGGGUGAACUUUUGGAACCCAUAUCAUUCUUGAAAGAGGGAUAUAGGUGACAAAGCAAUAGUGGACAAUAAUGGAUGUAGUUUGCUAUCUUUUUUCAUUUUAAAAAUAAGGAUGAGUAGAGAGUUAGCUAUGUUUUGGGCAUUUUCCUAGAAAUAGGGAUGUCCAAUUAAGGUAUUAAGUGGUUCUAAUUGACACACUUGUUAGGUACUAGAAAGGGUCAACGAGUGAUAUUCUUGAGGUUUUGUUGACAAACUAGCCUCAAGGACCUUCGACUUAUCCUACCACAUCAUUAAUAACUAGAAUUUGUACCAAAUCAUCAUGUUUCUAUGCAUAACUUGCCCUUAGGUAGACAUAAUUUCAAGAUCAUUCUCAUAUUGAAUUCUAAACCACAAGUGUUGCCUUAAUUCGUCUACCAGAGUUGUUAUUGAUAAAUCCUUAUUCCAAGCCACCCCCCUCCCCAAUUUUAAAUCAUAAAUUUUACAUUGUUUACAUUAUAGGUAUCUUUUUAGUAACUAUUAACACCCAUAAGACUAGAAAUCUAAUUUCGCGCAUCGUGGAUUCAACCGCAACAUAGUUGAGCUAUUGACAACAAACAUCCUCUACCAACAGGAAUGGUAUAGGUGAAUGUUAUCAUGAGCCACUCAUACUCAGAACAGAACUUAGCCACACACACUAUUUAGGCUAUGAUUUUAGUCUAAUGACUCAUUAAGACUCUCUAUGACUCGUAGGGUAAGUCAUAGUCAGGAUAGUGGGGACAAAAUUUUAGAAAUUCUCAGAGAUCAACAUCUGGGAUGUUUCAAAAACCAAUUAAGGAACCACUCUUGAUGUGGUCUCUUAAAGAUGUGAUGAAGAAAUUAUGUCCUAUGGCUCCUAAAGUGAAGAUCGCCUUACCGUUUGGAUUUAGUGAUGCCAUUAUAACCUUUGUGGUUUCUUACCUCUUGGUGAUUCCCAUAGCCAACUCCUUUGGGCAUUUUUCAAUAAGUUUUUAAUGAUUACCACGAAGGAUCCUUUGUUAUAUCUUAAGUGUGUGCAACCUUGGCAUAAAGCUAUGAUUAUUUGUGCUAACCCUAACCCUCAUGUCAUAAGGAUAUUGUAUUUGUUUGUCCUUCUUUUAGUUUUGCAAGGUUUGGAUUUGAGGUUGAAUUAUUUUCAAGAAGGGGGGGAUGAUACAAGCCAAAUUGCCUAUGGACCUUUGGAUGAGAUACGUAUGAUGCUCGAGGUACUUGAUGACUCCUUAGUGCUAUAAAAAGAUGCCUCAUGGAUGAAGAUUACCAUUAAGGAGGUUCAAAGGACUUUGACGAGGUCAAAAGAGUGCAAACCGGGGCUUGAAAGCCCUUUGAAAGGGUCAUGUGCCCAAGGUAUUUUGGAUUUACAUUUUUAUCCGCUCUAGCAUUUCAAGAACGGGUCAAAACAUCCCCUAGUGUGCCUUUUCUUGCAUUUGGGUCACUUUUGGGCUCUAAUUAUGUAAUAUUUAGCCAAAUUAUAAAUACUUGGUAGAUAGGAUUAUUUAGUUAGUUUUUAUUAAUUGAUAAUGAUGAAUUCAUGAACCUCCAUUGGAAGUGUUUUGAGAGCUUGAAAAAGUGAAUGUUGAUCUUUGAUUAGAAAUGUUGGUUAUAAGAGAGAUUCAAUCCCCUCUGCGAUCACGUAAGAGUUAGGUGCUAUUUGGUAAUCUUUAAGGGAGGUUUUUAGGUUUGAUACACUCUUUGAUUGCCUUUUGUUGUUAUAUUUGUGUCUAUCGUACUAUCUUUUCUAUCCUAUCCCUCUAUCUUUACAUUUUUCACUUUUAAAUUUGAGUCGUUGUGGCAAGAAUCGUAUCAUCGACAUAGCCAUAUUUUUUUUAAAAUAUAAAAAUAUAUAAAAUAGAAUUAUAAAAGAGAAAUACAAAAUAAAAAUAAAAAAUAAAACAAAUAAAAAAUGAAAAAAAAAAAGAAAUAGAAUCUACAGAUAGAACAGAGAACAAAUACAAAAAAAAAGUGAAAGAAAGAAAUGAAAAGAAAAACAAAAAUAGGAAAAAAAAAAAAACAAUAAGGGAAAAAGGGAAAAACACGUAAAAAAGAAGAUGAAAAUCAAAAAGGAAAAAAAAAAGAAAAGAAAAAUAAAACUUAGGGAUAGAAGAGAGAAAAAAUGAAAAGAAAGAAUCAAAAAAGAAAAAAAAAAGUGAAAAAAGAAAAACAAAUCAAAAAUUAAAAAAAAAAUGAUGGUGAAUACAAACACGAGUAGUUAUGAUGUAUCUGUCAUCAUUCAUGGCUUGUACUCGAUAUAUCAACAUUUUUCAAAAAUACAAAAACAUACAAAAUAUAAAAUGGAACAAAAAAAUAAAAAAAUGAUAAAGAAAAAAAAAGAAAUUAAAAAGGAAAAAAAACAAAAAAAAAAUACAAGAAAACAAAAAGAAAGAGAAGUAGAGGCGAGAGAUAGAAAGGAGGAAAAAAAUGAAAAAGAAAAGAAGAGAAUGUUAGGCAAUAGUAUAAUUGUAUAGACAGAAUAUUCUCUUUCCUAGAAUAGGAUUUUAUUACUAAUUGUGUAGUUAUAACAAUAGAUAUUCUUUCCUAGAAUAGAACUCUAACCUACAGUUGUAUAGCUAUAAGUAUUUCAUUAUGUAUUAUGGAACAAGAUAAGUUGCUAUUCAGAAAAUCUUGGUUUCUCUUGUUUCUCUAUCAUGGUAUGAAGAGCCACAAUCUAAAUUUUUUCCUUUUUUCGUGCUUUCUGUAUUCUUUGCACAGGUACUUUACUACCUUCAUAAGUUCCUUUUGUUCUCUCUGUUUUUCCCCCUCUUUUAUAAUCAAUCGAUCAAUGGAUUCACAAUCCUCUUCGCACGAUUUGCUCUCCACAAAAUUGGAUGGUUCCAAUUUUGCUCUUUGGGAAUUCCAAUUUGGAAUUUUUGUUCAAGGCAAAGGCCUUUUUGGGUUGUUAAAUAGAUCAGCACGUCCACCAAUAGAUACAAAAAAAUUGGAUCUUCGGAAAUUGAAUAAUGCGAAGGUAAUCGGUUAGAUGUUGAAUUUGGUACAUACUGAUAUUGCUAUGGGGCUUAUACCUUUCAGUGUGGCUUCUAAGAUAUGGACCCACCUCUGUACAAUCUACCAACAAAGCAACCUUGCAUGAGAGUUUGAAUUGGAAUGCAACAUUGCAGAAUGCACACAAGGGGACAAGAAUGUUCACUCAUUUUAUGCUGGCUUGCAGUUGCUCUGGUCGGAACAAGAUCAAAUUCUUGGGCAAAAUAUUUCUAAGGCAGGGCUCAAGGAGGUGUUUGAAGAACAAAAGAAGACAAGGGCGGUGCUAUUCUUAAUGAAAAUCCGUUCUAAAUUUGAGCCAAUUCGUGGCAGUUUGUUGAAUAGGGAAGUCACACUUACUCUUGACGUUGUGUUGGCAGUCGUCUUGCAUGAAGAGAUAAGACUUGGAACUCAGGUUGCUAUAGAGUCUACACCAUUACCUUCUGUUGCAUUACUUGCAGGAAAAUCAACAACCUUUGCUGUAACAGGAAAUACUAAGAGAAGUGUCCAAUGCUAUGAAUGCCAAGACUUUGGUCACAUCACAGCCAAUUGUCCUAAGAAGAAAAAACAUUUGUGCUUAUUGCAAAAAUAUUGGCCGUCAUAUUUCAGAUUAUCGUCGUCGCCCAAAUCAUUCACGAACUGCUCACGAAGCUUACCAGACAAAUAUCACUACAUCAUCUAGUUCCUUCCCUACUGGUCAUGAUCUUGAAAAACUAAUUCAAGAUUCUAUUGCAGCUGCUCUUCCCGAAGCCAUCUCAAGUGCACUCUCGGCAUCCUCUUCGAGUACAAGUAAUUUAAUUAAUUCUACUUGGCAUCUAGAUUCAGGGGCUUCCAAUAAUAUGACAGGUGAUUUGUCCCAAUUCUCAUCAUUAUCUAGUGGUGUUUCUAAACAUGUUAUUCAUACAGCAAACGGGCAUACAUUACCUGCAUCGGGUAUUGGUUCUGUUGGAAAUCUUUCUAAUAUUCUUUAUGUUCCAAAUUUGAAGGCUAAUUUGGUUUUAGUUGGUCAACUAGUUGAUCAAAACUGUGUUGUAAAAAUCUCACCCAAUGGAUGUGUUGUUCAGAAUCUGAAAAUAGGGAUGACCAUGGCCACGGGGCGUAGAUUUGGCAGAAUAUUCCUACUAGAGUCGGUUUACCGUCACUUGCAUCAUUGUUUUCUUUCAGUUUCUGCAGCGGAUGUUACUCGUUCGAAUAAAUUGCUCACUCUUUGGCAUGAUAGGAUGAGUCAUCCUCAUUCUUCUUGGCUUCAUCACAUACUUAAAUCAUGUCUUCCUACAGCACAUCACAUUCAUUCCAGUCUCCUUUUGGCAUCUACAAAUUGUGCCGAUUCAAAAAGUCACAAGCUUUCUUUUCCAUCCAGUUCAUAUGCUUAUGAAGAUCUAUUUGAUUUAGUGCAUAGUGAUGUUUGGAGUCCUUCUCCUAUUUUGUCAAGGAUGGGAUAUAAGACUUUGUGCUAUUUAUUGAUCAUGUAUCCAGAUAAACCUAGGUGUUUUUUAUUAGAAAUAAAUCUAAGGUUCCGACUCUUAUUAUGAAUUUUGUUGAGUAUGUUUGUGCACAAUUUCAUAAAACUAUAAAAGUAUUUCAUUCUGAUUCAGGAGGAGAGUACACUAAGACUAAUCUUGUUGAUUUUUUCAAAACAAAGGAAUUAUUGCCCAACACACUUGUCCUCAUACUCUGAAACAAAAUAGGGUCAUAGAAAGAAAGAAUCGACAUGUUUUAGAAACUACAUUGGAUUUAUUGAGUACGUCAAAUAUGCCAAAAAGUUUUUGGCCCGAAGAAGUACAUACUUCUACAUAUUUGAUCAAUAGACAAACUUUCCAGUCAUUGGAAAUGAGACACCAUAUUUCAAAUUAUUUCAUAGUAAGCUUGAUUAUUCUCACUUGCAGGUUUUUAGUUGUUUCUGCUUUGUACAUCUUCCAGCACAUGAAUGACAUAAGCUUUUGGCAAAGGCGGCACAAUGUAUUUUUGUGGGAUACAGUGAUACACAAAAAGGGUAUCUCUGUUAUGAUGCAUCUCGUCUUCAGCUUCGAAUAUCUAGAGAUAUUAUUUUCUUUGAGGAUCAGUUUUCUGCAAAUACAAUGCUAAACAUGCUUCAGAAUCUCUCUCUUUUCUUUACAAGUUUGAUGACGAUGUGGUAGCUACUGACCCUCAUCUUGAGUCUUCGAAACAACCUAUGGACUAUGAUAAUGGUGAUCUCCAGCCUUUAUCUCUUUCAAGUAUUGAUCCUCCGGUUGAAUCUCCAGAACAACCCAUGAACAAUGGUAAUGAAGCUCUCCAACCUUCAUCUCUUUCUAGUAUUGACUCUACAUCAUCAUUCUCAUCUUCGGAAGAGGGAUCCUCUCAUCCAGUUACUCCUCCACGUCGGUCUAGAAGAACAAAUCACCAUGCUCCCGAUUGACUUGGCUACUCUCCAGGAAAAUUUGGUAAGUCCUAUGCCUUGCACACCAUACUACAUUCUGUUGAGGUUCCUACAUCUUACUCCCAGGAUUCUACACAAACCUGCUAGAAAAAGGCAAUAUCGUACGAGCUUUAUGCACUGAAUGAAAAUUCAACUUGGGACUUUGUUGAUAAACCAACUAAUGGAGUUCUCAUUGGAAGUAAUUGGGUGUAUUCUAUUAAAAUAAGUCAUAUGGUACAAUUGAUCGCUAUAAAGCUCGACUGGUUGCUUAAGGGUACAAACAGAAGUAUGGGGUGAAUUAUGAGGAGACUUUUCUCACCUGUUGCUAAGAUGACAACGGUAUAGACAUUAUUGGCCUUGGUUUCAAUUAAAGGCUGGACUUUACAUCAGUUGGAUGUGAAAAAUAUGUUUCUUCAUGGUGACUUGGAAGAAGUUGUCUUUAUGAAACCACCACCUGGGUGUGUUCUGCCAAGACCAAAUAUAGCUUGUCGUCGUAAAAAAUCUCUUUAUGGCUUAAAACAGGCUCCCAGAUCUUGGUUUGACAAAUUUUGACCCACGAUUCAAACUGUAGGCUUCUCUUAAAGUUCUUCAGAUUAUUUUUUAUUUCUUCAUACUUCUCCGGUAGGUAUCACAGUACUUCUCGUCUAUGUUGAUGAUAUCAUUAUCACCAGAAAUGAUCAAGAGAAUAUUACUAAGUUAAAAAAAUUCUUGUAUACCUCAUUUAAGACGAAGGACUUGGGACGAUUGACAUACAUUCUUGGGCUUGAAGUUCUAUACUUUCCUACUGGGAUAAUGCUUACACAACAAAAGUAUAUUAGUGUUCUUAUUGCUACAGCUGGUCUUACUGAUGACAAGGUUGUAUACAUCCCAAUGGAGAUUAAUACGAAAUAUAAGGAGGCUGAUGGUGAACCAUUCAGUGAUCCCACAUUGUAUCGGCAGUUGGUGGGAUCAUUAGUUUAUCUCACUAUGACAAGGUCGAACAUCUCAUAUACGGUACAAGUUCUAAGUCAGUUUGUAGCUAAUCCUUACCAUAUACAUCACAUUGUAUUACAUCGUGUCAUUCAGUAUGUAUGUGGUUCUAUGAAUCAAGGUGUUCUAUUCCGUUCAGAUUCUCCGAUAAAUUUUAAGAGAUAUAUUGAUGCAGACUGGGCUGGUUGUCCCGAUUCUCGUCGUUCCGUUACUGGUUGGUGCAUGUUUCUAGGUACAUCCUUUAUAUCUUGAAAAUGUAAGAAACAAUCUCGUACAUCUAAAUCAUCUACGGAGGCCGAGUAUCGGGCUUUGUCGGCAGCAAGUUCGAAAAUUGUUUGGCUACGACGUCUAUUAUCUGAGUUUGGUGUUGCUAUUAUGUCUCCUACAGUGUUACAUGUUGAUAACACUAGUGCGAUUAAAAUAGACACAAAUCCUGUGCAACAUGAAAGCACAAAGCAUAUAGAGGUGGACUGUCAUUAUAUUCGGGAACUAGUUGUUGACCGUCUUAUCACUCUACAACACAUUUCUUCUCAUGAUUAACUUGUUGAUUUGUUUACAAAGGCUAUGACACGCGCACGACAUAAUUAUCUUAGCUCUAAAUUGCUACUAUGUGAUCACCGGUAUCAAUUUGAGGGGGGAUGUUAGGCAAUAGAAUAAUUGUAUAGACAGAAUAUUCUCUUUCCUAGAAUAGAAUUUUAUUACUGAUUGUGUAGUUAUGACAAUAUAUAUUCUUUCCUAAAAUAGAACUCUAACCUACAAUUGUAUAGCUAUAAGUACUUCAUUAUGUAUUAUAAAACAAGAUAAGUUGUUAUUCAGAAAAUCUUGAUUUCUCUUAUUUCUCUGUUAGAAAAAAAGUGAAAGAGAGAUUGUAAAUUGUAAUUUUGAAAGUUAGGCUAUUAGAAAUCUCAUUUUUCUGAAAUAUACGCUACUUUUUAUAAGUGCUCCUUUUAAUCAAUGUCACGUUACCUAAAUUUUAGAUAUUGCUAGGUCUGUGUAUUUUAUGGGUUAAUAUGAGCCCAAAAAUAAGGAUAAGGGCAUUGGUGGACCAAUAGAUUGACUGAGGGCAGUCACAAUUCAAAUUAAAUAGGUUGGGGGCUUUAUUAAUCAAUUCUCCAUUCUCUCUUUUAGAUCUUGACUUUUGCUUUGAUUGAUGUGUCUUGUUUUAAUAGGCUUUGUUUGCAAUAGUAAAUGCAAGUGAUCUUCACAAACCCGAUCUGGUUUAGAAUUGUAAGAUUAGUGUUCAAUAGAUGCAUUUCUAGCAUAGUUAAAAUAUUCAAUUGAAACAAGAUUUAGUAGAGAGUGUCAAUUGAAAAGUUUGGGCAAAGGUGUUGCACAUAUUAUAUACACAACUAACAGUAAAAAAUUAAAAAUUAUUAUAUAAUUAAAGUGAAAAACAUCAAAGUAAUGCACCCUAAUGUAACCCGUAAAUACUCAAUUAGGGAAUCGUUUGUUGUUGCUACACUGAAAGGGUUUUCUCUUCAAUUAUACCUGAUUGGUAGAUGACUGUAGAGUUAUUUUAGCUGAGGAUUUCUUUUUUUUUUCUGGAUCUGUAGCUGAGGAGUUGAAGACGUCUUCAAGGAGAUUGGAUUGACUUGGCAUUUGUGAGAGUUUUUGAAUGCCCAUUGAGCAAUCCGCCCAAAUUCUUCAUGCUAGAUAUCUAUGGUGGAAGAAUGAAUCGAUUUAGUAACUCAGCUGGUCUUGUGCUUCUUCAUCAGUGAAUUGACACCAUCGAUCUGGUCCAAACGACGAACAUGGAGAAGCAGCGAUUGAAUUUCUUUCUCUUUCGCUUACUUUCGUUUUCGAGUUUUGCUUUUUUUUCUUUUACUUUCCCUUUUGUUCUUUUCACUCUUAGAUCAUUUUGGACCAAGUUUUCUUGUUGGACUCAAUUUUUUAUUCAGUAAUAAAUGUUAUCAUGGUCCAAUCACUUCGGAAAUUAAAAAAAUGACAAACAUCAACAAAUAUACGUAAGUACAGGAUUCACAUAGCUUGAAGUUAAAAUAUGUGUUAUGCACUCUCACAAAUGUUUCAAGCAAAAAAAAAACUAACGAUGGUUAACUUGUGAC